rnacentral:tRNA from 1 species
GGAGAGAUGUCUGAGUGGUUGAAAGUGAUAGUCUCGAAAACUAUUGUACGUUUGCGCGUACCGGGGGUUCGAAUCCCCCUCUCUCCGCCA